rnacentral:rRNA from 1 species
UCCUGGCUCAGAACGAACGCUGGCGGCGUGGAUAAGACAUGCAAGUCGAACGCUGAUUAUGAGGUAGCAAUAUUUCAUGGUCGGAGUGGCGCAAGGGUGCGUAACACGUGGGCAAUUUACCGUAAAGCCUGGAGUAACUCGCUGAAAGGCGAGCUAAUACCGGACGUGAUUUCUGGGGGGCAUCCUCUGGAAAUCAAAGCUGGGGACCGUAAGGCCUGGCACUUUUCGAUAAGCCCGCGGCCUAUCAGCUAGUUGGUGAGGUAAUGGCUCACCAAGGCUAAGACGGGUAGCUGGUCUGAGAGGACGACCAGCCACACUGGAACUGAGACACGGUCCAGACACCUACGGGUGGCAGCAGUCGAGAAUUUUUCACAAUGGGCGCAAGCCUGAUGGAGCGACGCCGCGUGGGGGAUGAAUGGCUUCGGCCCGUAAACCCCUGUCAUUUGCGAACAAACCGGAUUAUUUAAAAGAUGAUCCGCUGAUUGUAGCGAAAGAGGAAGGGACGGCUAACUCUGUGCCAGCAGCCGCGGUAAUACAGAGGUCCCAAGCGUUGUUCGGAUUCACUGGGCGUAAAGGGUGCGUAGGUGGUCGGGUAAGUCUGAGGUGAAAUCUCCGAGCUCAACUCGGAAACUGCCUUGGAUACUAUUCGGCUCGAGGGUUGGAGGGGGGACUGGAAUUCUCGGUGUA